AUGUUUGCACCACAAAAAUUAGCAAUAGCUACUCUGUGCUCCAUUAUUCAAUAUUCAUGAUUCAAAAAAUAUAGUCCACAAAUUAAAAUGCUUUCUAUUAACUUAGAAUGUGAUCAGCUCCGCCUUUGAGGACACUCUUCAUAUGAAUUAUUCUUUCUAAAUGAAGAAGAAUAAUAAUGCUUUGUGCAGGAUCUUAUAAUUUAUUUUUCUUCCUCACUUGAAUAUUAUUGUUAAUAUAUCUAUAUAUCGUUGAUAUUGAUGAGUUGCUUUUGUUUGCACCUAACAUUGUUGUUUCAUUAUUGCUUUCAAAGGGUUUGCAAUUUGCACAUUGCUGAAACAAAGCUACUUAGAUUCUCUGAAACUUGUUCAAGAUUGAAACUCUUUUAACUUCACCCAUUAGUUGCAUCGUCAACACUUAAUUCGAACGUGUUAUUUUUUCCUACCGUACGUUUUGAUUCGAUUAUGUUAUUAUUUAGAAUUAAACGAUCCAUUCUGUCAUGGUAAUUGCACGGGUUGUCCCCGUCUCUAACAUUUUAUUAAUAAUUUGAUGCGGGUGAUGAAGUCAAUGAUGACUGAGAAAGUUCAGAUUGCCGACAUCAGUUGAUAAUCUUGUUCAAGCUAUGAUUUAAAUAUCUAAAUUGUCUGAGACUUUCACACCGAUUUCUGAGCUGAAAAUUGAUAUGAUUUAAAUUAAAUAGAAUUAUGUUAUCUUUAGGAGUUUAUUUAUUUUCUAUGUGUUUGGAUAAAUAUUUUUUAAUAAAAAUAUUAUUUUUUAAAAUUUUAGUAUAUUUUUUUAAAUAAAAGUAAAUUCACUAAAAAAAAAUCAGAAAUUUUUGUUUUAAAACAACUACGAUUUUUUAUUUAUUUAUUUUACUUUUUUUUUGGUGACUAUUUAUUUAUUUUACUUAAAAAAAGUUUUAUCAUGAUAAAUGAAAAAAAAAUAUAUUAUCGUAUCUAAAUCUAAUUAAUAAAUAAAAAAUAUUAAAUAAAAUGAACAGCGACUCAUACUUACACACAGAAACAUUGAUGAAUUUCCAACCACCUACCUGGCCGACACAAUAUUAUACUACUAUUUCAGUGAACACCAUAACUGCUUAGAGAGGCCUCAAGGUGAGUUGUGUUGUAUUAUUUAUAUUUUCUCAUGUUUCUUCACUUUUUUUAGUUUGUUAAUUAGUUGCCAUCACUUUGAAGCACUCUUUCCCCUCAUUCCCGGGCUUCUGCCUGAAGCUCUCCUACUCUCCAUGGCUCAAGGUUAGGUAUUCAUGCUCUUCACAUCUUGUACAUGUAUGGAAUCUAUCCUCGCUGUUAGUACGGUAUUGUGCUUAAACCUUAUCCUAUUCCUCUUUUUGACAAUUACCUUAGCUACUGGAUUAAGUCAUUGCUCAUUUGCUUGCUACUAAUUCAAUUUCUAUUUUAAUUUGCUUGAGAGAAUGAUUGGAAAUUUGGAAUGGAAUAUUAGGUUCAUUUCACUGCGUAGUACGGUUUAUAUACAAAUAAAAACAUAAAAAAGGACACAGGAAAAGCUAUACAAAUUGCUGAAGUUGAGGGUGCUAAUAAUAAAAUUGAGGUGAUGGCGGUGAAAGUGGAGAUGAAGAGUAUGAAUAAGUACUUGUGGUUGAUGAUAGCACUCAAGCUAUCCAUGACUUUGAGGAAAGCAAAACAGAGGAACUUAACUUCAUAUUAAAUGGUCGGUAAACAUUUAGACACUAGCUAGGGUAGAUAUUAUUUUUUUGCUUCAAUAGAUAUGAUUUUUACUUAGCAGUGGGGGCUUAUGGUGGUGUAUGUUCACUCUCUGGAUUUUCCAUUUUGGUAUUAAUUAGUAGAUGGAUAUGUAUUUGAUUUCGGUUCUUCAAGGAGAUAUUGAACUUAACUAUGUAAUUACUUCAGAAUUUUUAAGCAUUUGCUGUACAUGCUCAGUGUAUACUUUGAUAUUUAAGAAUUUGAUCAUA